UCUAGUGAACACAUGCUUCUGACCCAUAAAGGGUUCCAGUGAAGAACAGAGCGACAGAGUGUUAGGACUUGGGCCAUGGACCAAUCAGUUCAUCCACACUGGCUGGAAAAAGGCUUCUCCUGACAUUUUAAACAAUAAAGUUUUGAAAGGCUACCUGGUGAUUUUCGAAGCUCCUUACCUGGCUCAAGUUGACCUUGUCAGUGAUAUUUCUGUCUGUGCACCUGGGGGCAUCCUGCAGACAUUGCUGCCAGUUCUGGCAAGUGGAGACAUGAAGGGUUGCCUUGGAAACAGGGCCUCUGGAAAAGGGACAUGCAGCAGAUUCUUGGAACACAAAACACCUUCCAUCAUUUUCAAAGGGCUGGGAAAGUUGUGAUCCUAUGUGUGCAUAUUCAACAAGGGUCACUUUGCAGGAGUGUGGCUUCCCUCUUCCAGCCAGAAAGUUGUUUUUUACAUGCACUGAAGGCAGCAGAUGGGGCCAUGGCAUCCAUAUUCAUUAGCCUCGGUCUGCCACCUUGACCCUGACGCCAGCUCCCCAUCCGUGCUCUCUUCAUGGACUCAAUAGAAGCAACUUGGGGCUACUGCAAGGCCCCUAGAACAUGUUUAUUAUCCAAAAGGCUGGGAAACACGAAGAACCUCUUCCCCAACAAUCCCCCACCAUCCCAACUCCAAAUCUGCAUUACGACACUCACAUUCUCAAGCAAGACCCUCAAGAAUGGAACAUCUGCCCCACUAAUGGGGCUUUCUUAAAGUUGUGUGGAUGAUAAAUGAAGGAAGUCUAAGGAGACAAUGGUGGGAGAGUAGACUGAGGCAAAAUCACAAAACUGAUCAAUCAGGGAAGAAAGGAAUAAAGGAUUAUAGGUGAGAAACAUCCAUUCUUAUCAAAUGGUUAAGCUCUGGACUAAGGAACUACUACGGAAAGCUUGCACUAGCUAGAGAGAAGCCAUGCCAAAAUUUAGCAAGGACUAAAAGUCAGUCUGUGCACUACUAAGCAAUAGUAUUACCCUCGUUGUAGUAUAAUUAAGCUGAGGGUGAGAGGAGAGGAGGCUGUGAGAGAUUCACAUACUGAUCAUAGAUUUAAUAAAUUGGUUAAAUGGAUUAGGAGAGAAAAUUAGAAGACAAGAUUUUACACUGGUUUUACACAUCCAAAAAGUAAAUGUAGCCCAUUGUAAGAUUCAGCAAUGGUUCAUGAAGUAAUAAUUCACUCAGAAGUUAUACACAGAGGAAUAAUGGUGAAAAGGUAGGGUUGUGUGGGCCACAAAUGUCACUAAUUAGGCAGAAGCAGUAGCAACCUAAAGGAAGGCAAGAUUUAUGUUACUAUAGUGCUUUGUACUUCCUUUUCAGUCACUGCAAAUUAGGCCAGGAUGAAUAGAAAAUGACAACAGCCUUCAGUAUUACAGCAUAAAGAUUGAAAUUUACUUCAAACUGCAGGACUUUGAACUGUAUGUCAAUGUAGGAACUUUUGGAUUAGUGUUUCCCUCAUGCAUACUGCAGCUUACUGCAUUCCUCAAAAUGGAUUCCCGUGUGGAAGAUGUCACCAUAAUAAAUUGUCAUGGUCUUCUCUCUCAGCUACUGAAAUAUAUCUGGCACAUUUUGAGCACUGCAGUGUCUGCAAAUGGGAAUGUUAGAGAGUAGAUAUUCGAGAGCAUGAUGUCAUUCUUAUACACACCACACACCAUACAAAAAUGAACUGCUGCACAGCAGAAGUUAAGCUGGAAGUGCACAAAGAAGCAUAACCUUGAUGUGAGCUUUCUUGAGGAGCAGUGGGAGGGGGACAGGGAAAGGAUUGAAAACAAUAUCUACAAUUUAAAAAUCCAGUAUAUCUUAAUUUCUGUUAUUAGCAUGAUAGUUAAGGUAAUGGACACAUUCACAUGCCUGGGGACUUUACUGACAGCAGGUGCCAUUAACGUAAAUUUAGAAAUCUAAUGAGCCUAUUUUUCAUUAUAUGACUAAUUAAACACAUUUGUGAAUAGCAUAAAUUAUUUUUAUAUAAGUAGGAGUUAAAUAGCAUCCAUGUGCAAUUGUUCAUUUUCCAUUAGUUUGAAAUGUCAGCAGCAGUCCUUGAAGCAGGACGCCAAUUUAGCCUGUCAUGUCAAAUAAGGUUCAAAGUUCAAGGUUCUCUAUUUGUCACAUACAUUACAUACAUGUGAUGUAUUAAUGUAGUGAAAUGUUUUUCCUUAGUGCCUCAUCCCACAGUGCAACUGUGAUACAUGAUAAAACAGAAUAUAAUAAAACCUGAAUAUAAUAAAAGAAUAUAAUGAAUAAAAUAGAAAAAUAAAAUAGAAUAAGGCUUGGUCAUUGUGGCGAGGUAAAAGAUCUCUUACCAUUUCAAAAGAAUUAUCUGACCACACAUCUGAGCACCUCAUAACAUUCUGUGAUGUGAGGCAGUAUGGACAAUUAGCAAAGGGAUACUUCUGUAAAGUUUCAAAAAAUAUAUUUAGUCAUAAAUGUGAAUGGAUGAAUUGCAUUCAGUUGUAGUUUGUAGUUUUAAUUGUAGAUGAUGCAAAUAUAGUAGAAGUAGCCACCACUGCAACCAUCAAGAGAUUACUCAGUGAAAGAUAAAAAUAGCAGGUCCGCUAACACAAUGUGGAAAUGUACAUUUUAAUAUAUCAUUUGUUAAUGGUUCCCUUCCCUCAAGUUGUGCUAGUUAAAAGAGAGGAGAGAAAAUUAUUCAUCUGAGCCAGUGGCUUCAGGCUAUCAUGCACAUUUUAAGAUUUCCCUCAAAAAAUACUCUUGGUCGUCUUUGUUUUUACCAUUAUAUUUUAGGCAUUAUCUACCACCCUCAUAGACAAAGGGAAUACCCAUUAGCACAAACAUAUGAGUGCUCACUUAGCCAUUCAGUCUAACCCUACAGAAGAAUCUUUACAAUCAACAACCUUUUAUUUAAAUCAGAAAGUUUUUAGCAGAUUGCCGGUGAUAAGGGUCACGCUGCUACAUGCACUGUCUCACAGCUAGGUCUUAUUCAGCUUUUCAGCUGUGCAAGGCUCAAACACAGCGGGAGUAACAUCCUUCAUUAUCACAGGCCAUGUUUCCCUUGGCAUGCUGCCACUAAUGCACACCUUUAGGAACAUGCAAGAGCUUUUGGCUCACCCAUUUUAAUAUUCAAUAACCCCCACAUAUGAGUUCAAUCACUAAGACACACCUUGGCCCAGAAAUCAACAUUUUUUUUUCCAUCCUGGGAUGUUAGCCUUCAUUCCAGUCAAUCAAAGGUAGGAGCUAGAGAACUGUAUCAUGCUUGUUUCCAUCAGCUGUUGAAGCAAAUAGACAUGAAAUAAUAUAUUGUGCAUCUCUUUGUUUAAGCUUGCUCAUUUCACAUUGCCAUGUUACACUGGUAACGAUGUACAAACCUACUAUUUUUCAGUCUUCACUUAGAAAAUAAAUCACAUUUAGUAGGUGCAUUUAAGCUGGUCAGAAGAAACACCACACUAAUUAGACAAGUGGUGCUGCAGCAUGAAGCCAAGGGUUCCCUUGAGAUGCAUCCAUUUCCCUCUUCCUGUCCAGAAGGCUGUGCUCUCCCUAUUCCAAGGCUCUAAAGAAAUUGCUGAUAUAGCAAAGAUGCUUACCACUUGCUCCACAAUAUUUUAAUGGAGGACAGUCAUUUCUGACUAUUUUCAAAAUAUAGAUUUCUACCAUGUAAGAUUGUGAUUUCUACUGUGUAAGAUUGUAAGAUUGUUUCCAACAAAACCAUUUAUAAUGACUUUAACGUGUCUGUGUCUAUCUGAGUAGUAGGAACGGAUAAACUCCUAAAAAUCAAUAGGCAGCAUGAUGUCAAUUCAAUUCAAUUUUAUUUGUAUAGUGCUUUUAAUAAUGGACAUUGUCACAAAGCAGCUUUACAGAAGUAUAUAAAUCCAGGAAAUAAAUCUUAAAUAUAUGAAUUUAUCCCUAAUGAGCAAGCCAGAGGCAACGGUGGCAAGGAAAAAGAUGAUAUGAGGAAGAAACCUUGAGAGGAACCAGACUCAAAAGGGAACCCAUCUUCUUCUGGGUGACACUGUAUAGUGCAAUUAUAAAUAAUUCCUGUCUAUAACUGUAUACUGUAUGGUAAAAAAGUACAAUUGUGUAAACAGGAAAAUUCAUUAUAGUUUUCACAUUAAGUCUAUUUUGUUGAAGUUAUCAAAUUGUUCACUGAGGGCGACUUGAGUGCAAAACUGUUCUUGGGAAUUGCAGUCCUAAAACUAUCAUUACAAUUGUAGUCCUAAGUCAUCGUAGCAAAACUGUUCUUAUCAAUUGAAUUCCAAAGCCAUCUUCAUGGUUUCUAAGUGGUACCAUCCACAGUAAUCUCAUGUAUCUUUAGGCUGUCCAUGUGGGGCAGCAUGUGGUUUCCAAAUGAUGAGAACUCCAACCAGAAGCAGGGCAUCAGGGUGGAUCAGGCAGGUCCAGAGAGUAGAAAGGGUCAGGAUCACUGGUAUCUCAGGAGUAGGAUGUGUAGCUUGACAGAGAGAAGGGGGGGGUAAUGGUUAAGGACAAUGUACAUGGUGUGUAGAGUGCAAGCAGGGACUCCAGCAAGACUAGCUAUGACAGCAUAACUAAAAGGGAGAGCCAGAAGGUAACACAGACAUGAGGGUGCCCUGGGACAUUAACUGGCCAGCCACUCCACCGUCAACAAACCUAAGUGAACGCGUACGAGUGGGGGGCCGACGGCAUCCAAACAUCCCAGUUCACCACAAUAGUCUAUGCCCGUCCAUGGUAUAUCCACUAGUCCCCACCACUAGCCCAGUCCUUUACAACUUGCAGGCAAUAUUAGAAAUCACAGUUUUACUAACCUAGGUUGUAGAACUAGGUUAUACUUAUGUCAAUAGUGUUGGACUGACUGUGGUCCAUGGCAAAAUCAAAGUGUCCUCCUUAAGUCAUUAUUUAUUUAUUUAUUUAUUUAUUUAUUCAUUUUGCUUGAAGUUUUUUGUGUACUUGCAAACGUUUCUCUAUGGAUCUAUUGAUUGUUAUUGAGAUUCUUGUUAGCACAAAGAUCUGGAAUACAGUAUGAAUUAGUGUAAUGCUGUCAGAAUUUUCUGUAUGCAGUUGAGAUUAUCCACUGUACCAACACUGAGUCUUGGUCAUAGGCUAGAAUCAAGAAACCUGUUAAGGGGUGACAGCAUCAAAACAUCCCAGUUUACCAGAACUCUCUAUGCCGAUGAAAUUCUCAGAUCUGCAAACUUACAAAAGAGAAAUUCUAUUUAACAAAAUGUCUGACUAAACAAAGUUUUUCAAUUUGAGACCGUGUCAGAGUUCUGAACAUUAACAGCAUGCCUAUUCCAUAGUUAUAUAUAUUAAAAAAACUCUUCUCAAAUGUAGUAUCUUUAUUGGCAUUGCUAUAAAAUAAAUAAAUAAAAAUAAACUGUAUUAAGCAGGUAUGGUGGUUAACAAUAGACCAAAAGUUUGCUCAGGUACUGUGGGAAAAGAUCAUUCAGUGCUUUGUAAGUCAGUAAGUAUUUUAUAAUCAGUGCAAAAUUCUACUGGGUGCAAAUGUAAUGUGGAUAAAACAGGGGUGAUGCCAUCAAAAUGUCUGAUUUCGUAAGGACCGCUGAUCUCCUCGGAUUUUCACACACAACAGUCUCUACCACCAUGGUGAGCAGAAAAGCAUCUCAGCAUGCACAAAACAUCGAACAUUGAGGUGGAUGGGCUACAACAGCAGAAGAGCACAUUGGGUUCUGCUCCUGUCAGCCAAGAACAGGAAUAUGAGGCUAUUAAAGGCACAGGCUCACCCAAACUGGACAGUUGAAGAUUAGGAAAAAAAAUCACCUGGCCUUUUUCCAGUCUUCAUCUGUCCGGUUUUGGUGAGCCUUCCUAUUAGCUCAAACCAGCUUGGUCAUUCUCCUCUGAUCUCUCUCAUCAACAAGGUGUUUCAGCCUGCAGACCCUCUGCUCACAGGAUGCUUUUUUGUUUUUCGCACCAUUCCGUGUAAACUCUAGAGACUGUUGUGUGUGAAAAUCCCAGGAGAUCAGCAGUUUCUGAAAUACUCAAACCAGCCCAUCUGGUACCAACAACCAUGCCACAGUUAAAGUCACCGAGAACACACUUAUUCUUCAUUCUGAUGUUUGAUGUGAACAUUAACUGAAGCUCUUGACCUGUAUCUGCAUGAUUUUAUGCAUUGUGCUGCUGCCACAUGAUUGGUUGAUUGGAUAACUACAUAAAUGAGCAGGUGUACAUGUGUUCUUAUUAAGCUGAGUGGUUGAGUGUAUUGUCAUGAUACACAAUGUGCAUAAUAUUUGGGUUUGCUAACAAAAUGUGACAAUAAAAAUAAAAAAAAUAAAAAAAUGAAAGCUUCAAGAUAAUGUGAGAAGCAAUCGAGUCAGUAUGGUCAGCGUGGUAAAAGUGUUAGCAAUGUCCACUGUGCUUUCAGAAAUGCAUUCUGCAGCAAAAUGUAUUAUUAUCUAUUAAUAUCAUGGCUCCAUACCAUUCAUCCUUAAGCUGAAUUGAGCUCAGGUUACUUGCAACCCAAAAAAAAGUCUUUGUCCCUUUGAAAUUGAAAUUGAGGCCUUUUAAAUGCACAAGCAAUUAUAUUUACAACUUCAUAACAGAUUAACUUCAAUCUCAGUGACAUUAAGGUUUUGGUGGUAAUGGGGAGGAAGUAAACAUGAGCUGGCUUCUCAUAAAUACUACCGUUAAACAUGCUUUAAUGUUUGCAUCACAACCACAUUCAUCAAACAGAGCCAGAGUCAUUUUAUUUAAAUGUACAAGAGCCAUUUAUCUUAAAAAUGAUAGCCUAUGGUGUAGAGGAGAGUAGCAGUUUAUUUUUUAUCUAUUUACUAUGAUUGGGAAGUGUUAAGCCAGUUUUAGAACAUGUGAUUAUAGCAGUCUUUCAAGAUUAAUAUUUGUCAUAUUAUAUGAGAUCCCAAUAAAAUAUUGGUUGAAUUCUAUAACAAACUGUGUCCUCCAUCAUAUCAUGUGUCCACCAUGUCAUACUAUACAAUGAAGAUCCUCUAAUGAUAGACCUGCAAUUAAACAAAAAUUACUAAGUUUAUGUCAACAAUGAGUGUGAAGCAGAAAAUGGGUUUGCGUAACAGAAACAUUAUUCAAACUGAGCAUGAGGUAAUAAGGUAAAAAAAUAUUUUUUGUCCAUUAGCAUGUUUAUUUACGUUUCUCUGUUGGCACUACUGAAUUUGUAGCUGUCCUGUGCAUUUUGCUUCAUGGUACGCUGUCCUCCUAUUGGUAGGAUUUGACAAGUGUAGACACUCACAGAAAAACAGGUACUAAACUGUACCAUUUCUUGUUGCUGGGGUGAUACCCUCAACAUACACAUUUGGUACCUUUAGUAUGUAUCUUUUAGCUAGAAAGGUACACAUGGUGUACCUUUAAUGGUAUAUUAAUUAUACCACCCAUGCAACAAGGAAAGUUUAGUACACUCUUAUAUUGUGAAAGUGUAGCAGCGGUAACACUGAGAUUUUAAUCAAAACAAGGCAAGGCCACAGAUAUGCAAUUUUAUGGCUAACAUAAAGAGAACAGGGUUGUCUCAUCCAGGCUUUGCUGUUUCUGUUUCUCCUCUGUGUGAUGAACACCAUAUGUUUGUGUUUGGAACCCUUCAGGAGACAGGCAGUAGUUCAGACAGGAUAUGACAUGCUGACAGGAAGCUGCAGAU